GAGUGUGUUUUACCCUUCUCUUCCUCACUUCCCGCUGCUGGAGCAGAGCCCUUGGACCCCAGGAGGGAAGCCACAUGUGGAGGCUGGCAGCACUGCUCUGCCAGCCCUGGACCAUGGACCUCUGGAUUAUCAUAUGAGAGAGAAGUGAACUUUUAUCUUGUUUAAGCCAGUAUAUUUUGGAAAGCAAGUCUGUAGGUCCAAUGCAUACUGAUGGGGAGACCAGUACACAAGACCAUGGAUACCAGGAGGUGAUGACCAUCGGCUGCCUAAGAUAGACUGUAAGAAUUACGAACUCCCAGUUCCGGGGCACAAAGCCAGAAGGGCCAUGAGCAUCAGAACGGAAGCCUGGAUGCCCAAAUCAGCCUCAACUCUGUCCCAGGGUGAGAAAACCUGGAGGAAGGGUGCCAGAGCUGUGUGUUGGACUCAGGUCUCCUGUCUCCGAGGGGCCCUGUCCCCACCCCACUCGGACAUGCACACUUACUUCCUGGCCCUGCGUGCCUUCCUUAGUGCCGACUUUGGGGAAUCAUUGAGAAUUCGAAGCUGAGAAAUGUUCUCUUGUAUUUGCACAUUACAAAGAGACAUCUGAGCAUGUUCCCCCCAUGAAUCGUGAGUAUCCAUUCCCAGGGAGCUCUAACUGCUCGGGAGAAGGGGUGUGAAAUUUAAUUUGCACUAAUUAUCCCGAAGUGAGAGGAGCGGGGAAUGAGCUGGCUCUGCACAUUCGGCCUCUUCCAGCGGCUCCCUGUUCCCCAGGUUGCAGUUUAUUUA